GCCGGGGUGCUGAAACUGGUAGACAGGCUACGUUGAGGGCGUAGUGAUCCUAGAUCGUGCGGGUUCGAAUCCCGCCCUCGGCACCA
rnacentral:tRNA from 1 species